UAGGACAAGAAGGAGAAAGAGCUGCAGGUGAAGACCGCAGAAGCGGCGCAGAUGGCGAGGCUCAUCCAGGAAGAAAAGGAGGCGAGCGAAAAGCGAGAAUCCGGCAGGAAAGACGUGGAGGUCAGGUUGCAGCGUCUGCAGAAUGAAGUGGAAGACAUGACGAAGGAAAAGGGUGGAAUCCAGCGUGAAGAUAAGGUUGCGUAGCUGAAGAUGAACGAGCUGACAUGCCUUUUUUGAAGAAGGAAAUGGUAGGCAAUCAAUCCGGUGGAGAGGAAGACUGGUGUCCAGGCCGAACUGAAGGAGGCAGCGGGGAGAUGAGGCCCGACAGACGAGAUUGAGCGAAGGAGAAAUUGAUUUGCAAGCGGAAGAACCUGAAGGGGAAUUACAGAUGCCUGACGAAGGACAAUUGGAAAGUGCCGGAGCAGGUGCCCAGCUUCAAGGAAUAGCAGGAUCCAGUCUAAGGUGGACUCACGAAGACGGAUCAUAUUUUGAAAAUGAGAGAAUGUUUGUUGUAUGGAAAUUUGUUUUGAAUUGAAAUAAAUAAAGGUUAUUUACAAA